rfam:Monodelphis domestica chromosome 2, whole genome shotgun sequence.
ACAACGGCUCUUUUCAGAGCCACCCACUUCUCUCACUGAGAAAGAG